UACAUAUGGGGCAAGCGUUGUUCGGAAUUACUGGGCAUAAAGGGUGCGUAGGUGGCGGGGUAAGUUGGAUGUGAAAUCCCGGGGCUCAACCCCGGAACUGCAUUCAAUACUGCCUUGCUAGAGUACUGGAGAGGAGAUUGGAAUUUACGGUGUAGCAGUGAAAUGCGUAGAUAUCGUAAGGAAGACCAGUGGCGAAGGCGGAUCUCUGGACAGUUACUGACACUGAGGCACGAAGGCCAGGGGAGCAAACGGG
rnacentral:rRNA from 1 species